UACAGAGGGUGCAAGCGUUAAUCGGAAUUACUGGGCGUAAAGCGCGCGUAGGUGGUUCGUUAAGUCGGAAUGUGAAAUCCCCGGGCUCAACCUGGGAACUGCAUUCAAAACUGUCGAGCUAGAGUAUGGUAGAGGGUGGUGGAAUUUCCUGUGUAGCGGUGAAAUGCGUAGAUAUAGGAAGGAACACCAGUGGCGAAGGCGACCACCUGGACUGAUACUGACACUGAGGUGCGAAAGCGUGGGGAGCAAACAGG
rnacentral:rRNA from 1 species